AACUGAAACUAUGUGCCUUGAUCUCGUGGGAUACAGACAAGAAUAUUUUCCUAGAAACAUCACUUAUAAUAUCAAAGGCUGUGUUUCUUCCUGUCCCUUGAUAACUUUGAGUGAAAGAGGUAAUGAAGGACGCAGAAAUGAUCUGAAGAAGGUUGAAUGUAGGGAAGCCUUGAAAUAUGAAUCCUCUGAUUAAUACUGGAAUCAUUCUGGAAUCUGAAUGUCAGCAAUUUCACCAGGUAGAACCUGCCUCAUCAGAAUGACUCUGAAUGGAAACUUACAUUUUUAAGUUGUGGCUCUUCCUGCUGAUUAAUUCUUAAAAAAAUUUUUUAAAAAAGCAAAUAAAAGAAGUCAAAGUGA